GAUGAACGCUAGCUACAGGCUUAACACAUGCAAGUCGAGGGGAAACGACAUCGAAAGCUUGCUUCCGAUGGGCGUCGACCGGCGCACGGGUGAGUAACGCGUAUCCAACCUGCUCACCACUUGGGGAUAACCUUGCGAAAGUAAGACUAAUACCCAAUGAUAUCCCUAGAAGACAUCUGAAAGAGAUUAAAGAUUUAUCGGUGAUGGAUGGGGAUGCGUCUGAUUAGCUUUUUGGCGGGGUAACGGCCCACCAAGGCGACGAACAGUAGGGGUUCUGAGAGGAAGGUCCCCCACAUUGGAACUGAGACACGGUCCAAACUCCUACGGGAGGCAGCAGUGAGGAAUAUUGGUCAAUGGACGAGAGUCUGAACCAGCCAAGUAGCGUGCAGGAAGACGGCCCUAUGGGUUGUAAACUGCUUUUAUAAGGGAAUAAAGUGAGUCUCGUGAGACUUUUUGCAUGUACCUUAUGAAUAAGGACCGGCUAAUUCCGUGCCAGCCGCCGCAGUAA
rnacentral:rRNA from 1 species